AAAAAACAUCCUCACAAACACGUCGCUGCCCUCUGCCCUCUCGCGACCACGCCGUCGGGGCAGUUUUGGCCACUGCCCCACACCUCGCCCCACCUCUUCCCCAGAUCCUUCCCGCCAGCCAUCGCCCUCGACCUGUGCCUCCGUCUGCACGUGCCGCCGGACCGCCGCGCCCACGCUCUAGGCGCUCGGGCCACCCCAUCCACGCACCGCCCGGGCGGCCACGCCCACUCGCCGCACACAGGCGCCGAACCUCCAUGCUGCAUGUGCUUUACCCUCAGAUUCUUCCUGGUUGCAGUGAUAAUUUUUGGUUUAACUGUACGCAUGUUCAAUACCACUUCCUGGUGCUAGAUGUAUUGGAGACGGCAGGCAGCGGCAGCAGGAGGAAGAGGACUGGGGCGACGGGCUCAGAUGUGCACUUCUCUGAAAGUCCAGGCAGCCGGCAGUCGGCAGCCAAGACCCAAGACGAUGGGCUAGCUCAAACACACGAAUGAGUUGAUGCUGCCUCAUCCCACGUUGGUGCAGUCUACUCUUUGGUUGGUAUCGAGCUACAGUUCCGAUGACUUGCAGCUCAGGUCGGGAAAAGGCGCGGGUAGUGCACACACUAUCGUUUGUUGCUGGGAUCAACACGCUGCUGUAGUGAAUUUAUGGCUUCUAUCUCGCAUGGAUGCCUAGGUGGCUGUUGCUGUCGCCUUCAUGCCCAUGAGAGCUGGUUUGUCACCGAGGUCGCCAGGCAGGAGUGUCCUUUUCUGCUUCGAGCUGCUUUGACCGGUGGCACACUUCAGGGACCAUGCUCUCACCAUGGACAACACAGUCGUGGGACUCGUGGUCGCUGGCGGAAAGGUGGAGCAAGAGGUCUCUGAAGCUGCAGCAGAACGAGUCUGUAGAGACGACGUUGAAUUUUAUCAAGGUUUUUUCAUUUGUUUUGAACCAUCCAGGAGAGACAAGGUUGCUUCAUUUGCAAGCUCAAAACUCUUUAUGAUUGUAUUCUACUUCUCUACCCAGUUCAUUGAACCUAUGCAAUUGGUUGUCGGUGUUUGAUCCCAUUAGUAGUAUGAUCAAUUUUGUUUCGAGACAUGCAGUCCCCAAAUCAAACACUCCCCACGAUCCGAUGAAUGGGAGAGGGAAGCUGAGGCAAUGGCUGUGCCACUGUAGACAAACAGUUUAACACUGAGGUAUUAUAAUGUAAUGAAAAUAAUUGUUUGUUUCUUCUCGUGUCUUUCUAUGUAGGUCUGCUACGUACAGUUCAUGUACUGUUCUGUCCUUGCAUUGUUUUCUUCUACUAUUUUUGUUGUAUAUUAAUUAGUACGUCGGUUGGUGUGAAAUUCCUCAAGUUUUGGUUAAUCUAGGCAGUAAAAAUAAGUUCAGUUUGGUAGGUUGUGCACUUGUUAAACCACUUUUAACUGAACAUGUACAAGCCUCAAAUCUAGGAUAUUUACAGUCUCUUCACAAAAAAUAUAUUACAUAGCAGUAGUUUCAUCUUAUUGUUCUACCAACCCGAGUUUGAGGUGUAUUUGUGGUACUUUGAAGUAAAAAGUUGCAGUAAUUGUCCUUCCUCUCUUUUUUUGGUAUUCUUUUAGCUCAGGCUUACACUUUGUGACUGGGCAUUAAAUUACAUUCUUCUGUUUUGCUGUUGCAAAGAGAGAAUAAAAAUGGGAUGCACUGCCACAUGAAAAACUUGGACCAAUUGAUAAGAUACCAAAUCUGGGCACUAUGUAGUUGUUCUGCAUCUGAAAUCUCUUUAUAUAGUAGUUGAGUAUACUGUAGUUAAUUUCACUGAUAUUUGUGUGUCAGUUAUUUGGUUAUUUGGUCUCAACCUACAAUCCAAGGUUAGUAAUUAUUUAGUCUGAACCUACAAUUCCUUUUCAUGUGUUGUUAUAAAAUUCUCUUGACACAAAGAGUUUCCGGAGGUUGGAUGGCAAUUUGAAAAUUCCAGUGUGUGCUUCAAGAUGUAUGCAUCUAAUUUUGGAGCCUAUUCAUGUUGGUUCAACAUAUUUCCACCACACUCCAUAUCUCACAGGAUUUAGAGCAGAGGGCCUUUUAUAAUAAAUACUACAUAACAUAGUGUUGUUCGGUGGGAUGCAAUUUUUUUUGUUUCAUUCAUCCGCUAUCCUUGUUGUAUUUUACAUAGCUUAUAAUACUAUUUGCUUUGUUUCAGGGGCAGGAUAUGCAAUAUAGGAUAACUUUACUAAGCUUUGUGAAAUUUUGGUUCCAUUGGGUGACUUCUAUUUUCCUUUGAUGGCUAAGAUGCACAUGGAAAAUCACAUAAUUUGAUCCUUCCGAGUCUGAUAGAUUCGCUACCAAUGGUCGACAUAGCACUUAUCUUGUGCUUCAUAAUUGUUUCA